rnacentral:tRNA from 1 species
GGGGACAUGGGGUAGUGGCAGCCCGUCAGGCUCCAGACUUGGCAGUCUGGGUUCGAUUCCCAGUGUCCCCA